CUGGACAACAGAAGCUUUCUCAGCUGUGGGUUGUGGAUGGGAGAGGUCAAAUAUGGAGCAAAUAUAUUGAAAUUCGGAGAGGUCAUACCAGGGGGAAAUGUGUGUGCUUCACCAGGCAGCCCCCCAUGCAGUGCCAUUGAAGCAGGGAAGCCCCCUGACUUUUGCAGAGAUGUUUUCUGCUACCAGAGGGUGCGUCUUCAGGCCUCACCUGCUUCUACCAGAGCUGCGGGAAAAGAGCUGGGAUGCUCAGGCGAAUCAACCAUAAAUGUGUUGUGUGAUGCUGGGCUUCUCUCCCCUCUGAGCGUCAUUUCUAGGAAUGAAAUAGUCAUCCCUGGAUGAUACCCAGAAAAAGCUCUCUCAUCGACCUCUGGGAAGUGCAAGUACCCAUUUCACAGCUGGGGAAAAUGGAGACAACUCAGCAGGACACAACAGUGAUGACUCCUGCCUCCCAGAAGCCUGCUUUUUGUUUCUCUUAAGAUGUUCAUGAACAGGCCAUUUGGAGCAAGCCCCAAAAUAACCUCUUCUUAGGCUGUGGACAGCAGGGCUGGACACUGCAGCACAGGAGACCACCUGGCUUUGCCCAUUCUCCAGAGGGAAGUUAGGUCAGCAGGCUGCAAGCAAGGUUUGUGUGAGUUUGGACCAGAGGAUUUUGGGGUUUCAGAGCAGCUUUGAGCCCAUGGUCUGGCGUGAAGCCUGAAGUCCUGCAGCACAGCAGGCUCAGCCAGGUAUUUGUGCCUUUAUAAUUCAGCUUCAGCGAAGACAAUAUACCUUCCAAAAAUGCAUGACAAGCUGAACGGGAAGAUCUGUGAAGCCUUGAGUUGUUUAGGGGAAAGCACCCUACAAACCUUGCAGUGCCAUCGCUGAGGCUGCAGGGACCAGCUGAGCUGAAGGUCCUGCUUAUGCUGCCAGGCACAGCUCUGCUUUUGCAAACUGAUUUAAUGCCACUGUACCUGGAGCUCAUGCAAAGCACGGCUCUGGAGGAAAAAAAAAGGCACCUGCAGAUCACCUCAGUGGUGUUGGAUUCCCAGGAUGGGCAGCUCCAGGGAUCACAGCAGAGGUGGGAGCGGGCUUGGAGCCGUCUGGUGGAGCUGCUCUGCGUCAGACAGGUUUCUCCCCAGACGCGCUAUGUUUUCCAAAAAUCAGAUUGACUGGGAGCGUUUGAUAUGAGAAACAACUUGAGGGCUGUGUUUAGAGCCAAAGAAAAGCACAGGCAGUAUCAGAGGAUUGUCGGAGCUGAAGAGGAAAAAAUCCCACGCAGAUCAAGCAGCCCAUUUCCCUAAAUGCUGGGGGAAGGUGGCAAAGCCAGGGUUUGAAAGGGGAGGCAGGACAAGAGCAGAGCAGCCUUUGCAGGCACCUGGCUGGGCAGAGGAAGAAGGUCUGGAGCCCAAGGACACAGACUGCAGGUGUAGGCUCUGCUUCAUCAGUCAUGGGCCGUUCCAGGGGCUUGCUCCAGCUUCCCAAGCCCUGCAACCAAGAUCACUCCCAACCACCCCGGUCAGGACCCAGCAGCCACACACAGAUGUGGAAGCUGAUCAUGAGAGAACUUCUGCAGAGCCCUGUUUUCACCAGCACACGGCUGCGCUGAACUGGCUUUGCAAGGACCCCUCCAGGCAUUUGCUUAGGAACUGGUGAAAUUACCCUGCCUAAUGGCCUCCAGAAGCUGAGUUACCCAGGCGUAAACUGUGCCGCGGAGAUCCCAGGAGCUGGGGGAAGCAAACGGCACGUUGGUUUCUGUGCCGGUCUCAAGGUUCUGGCCCUGAGCUGGUAAAUCACAUUCGAGCCUGUGCCUCACUCUGCACAUAAUCAGUGGUGUGAUCCUGUGGAAUAAAUGUGUGUAUGAUGGGAAUGCCUUUAGCAAAGCACACUCCUGUUCCCCCCCACCCCACCAUGUAACCUCCCAGCCUCACAAGCACUCAGCUCAUAGGUUUAUUAUUUAUCCUGGUGAACUGUAUUGAAGCCUGAGCACCUGGCUUCCUGCAUGGCCCUGAAUUACUGCACCAAAUCCCUGCGUAAGGACCUGAGUUUCAGCACUGACUGAUAUGAAUAGGUCUGCCUGCAGCUAAAAAUAGAAAGCACGGGGCAGGCUUCCAGGCAGAGCUGUAGUAACUUCUAAUAUAAGGUGGCUCAGCAGCAGUUCCUAUGGCAAAGCCUCCUCCCAUGCAGUGGGGAAGGCUGUAGGAUGUGCUCAAGCCAGUAUUGGACAACAGAGUUUCCCUGUGGGAACCAACCUGUGAGGUGCAAAGGCAGUUUUAAAGUUUUCUUCUUCCUAGUGUGGGGCUGUCUCCUGCUCUGUAGGAACCACUCCUUGGCUCCGUGCCUCAGUUUCCCCUCUGAAAGGAGUUCUGGUUGCUGUGGGGGAUGCAUUUGAUCUGCACAGUUUUCUUGCCCUCUCUGCAACAGGAGAGGCUGCAGCACUGGGGAGGACCUGCAGUCCCCAGCCUGCUCCCCUGUGAGCCUGUUCUGCUCUCCCUCUUCCCCCUGAGCUCUUAGACAGAAUGUUUGCUCCUUCUCUCACUG